rnacentral:tRNA from 1 species
AGGGAUGUAGCUCAGUGGCACAGCGCCUGCCUGGCAAGCAUGAGGUCCUGAGCUCCAUCCCUG